UCAUACUACUGCUGACAUGGUUAAUAUUUAGAUCGGAGUUGGUAAAUUAUUUGUUAACUGAGUGAAUUCACUCGGUUUCGUGUGGGCGAUUCAGUGACAUUUCUCUUGUCUCUUGUUGAACCACCAAUGGUAUUGCCCAUGAGGUCACUGGUCAACCGAUUUUGAUAGUGUUGUGAGAGCACCAAUUAACACUAGCAGAGUAAUCAUCAAUCAUAAUAAUAUGCCCAAUUUUGCUGAGUAAUGUGGUGACAAGCAAACAAAAAAUGUCUUGUUUCGCUAACUUGGUUGGCCAAAAAAGGUACUAAGGCUCACAAUUACCACCAAGUAGAAGAAUUUCAAUUUUAAAGAUCACGUGACCGAUCACAUAUAUGCAUCUUUUUCUAAAUGGAUUAAAAUGGUUGGUUUGAGGUUCAUCAAUUUGCAGUGGCGAAGAGAAGAAAAACAUUUUUAUCACAUACAUGCUAAU
rnacentral:lncRNA from 1 species